rnacentral:lncRNA from 10 species
CAUGCUCAUCUACAGAAACGCCGCUUGGCCUUUGGACUACACCAUCUGUCGCUCGCUCUAACGAGCCGGCGUUGCCGCCAGGGGACGCUCGGGCCGCAGGAGGUCGCUGGGUCGUGAGCUGGCGCCGGGGACGCCGAGCGACUGCGGGGUUUCCCUCAGCGUCCUGCUAUCCGGCUGCCCGCCGCGCUCCUUGGUAGUGUCCGUGGGCGCGCAGGCCUUGAAGAACCUCCUCGUGGCGGGACCCCGAGGGCAGGAGAGGUGUCAAAGAGCUGGCGCGUCUCCAGAGCCCCGGGAGGAAGGCUGUAACGGCAGCCCCAUCGUAGACAGGGACAUUCGCAUCCCGAGCCCUGGAUCUCUGAAAACCAGCCCAGAAUUUGGAAGCUGGAAGGAACUUUAGAUCGUCCAUUCUGAGUGUCUCUCUUCGCUGGCGUUUUCCCACUGAGGUUAUGUAAACAUGAAGAGGAGCCUACAAGUGUCAAGGAAAAAACGACAGCUAACCACAGGGCAGGCCAUGGGCAAGAUAUCUCAGUGUUCUCCGCUCUCAUAGGUCAGGGUGAGACUCACCUAGGCUGGACUGCAAUGGUGCAAUCUCGGCUCACUGCAACCUCCGCCUCUCAUGUUCAAGCCAUUCUCCUGCCUCAGCUUUCCGAAUCGCUGGGAUUACAGGGUUGUGUCACCCCUCCCACCUCCCUCUGCAGAGACGCAAAGUCAAGAGUAGGAAGAAGCCAACCUCUGAGGUAAGGCUUCCCCUGGAAGGCCCAGGGCUGGGGCUCUCUCCUUUCAGAGCUCAGUUAGACCCAGACACACGGCAGGGAGUCCCAAGGGUAGUGGCAGGCCCCCUCCAGGAAACUCACAAGGUUACCACAGCUCAACUGAAAAGGAAGAACUUCCCAGGACUGUGACACCCCAGUGUGAGAACAGGAGGAUGAGGUGCUCUGAAGGCCUUUCUGCCCAGUCUGCCCUCUUAUUCCUCCUGCAGGUCACGACCCCCAGGAGACCUGGAGGACUGAAUGCUGCUGCCCCCAAGGAGGAGGCUGCCGUCUUAUCCCAGGAGGGAGAGCAGGUGAAGUCCCCAGGGGAGGAAGCACCUAGCCCCAUUCCUGCUGAGCAGGAGGUGGCAGGUACCCCAGACUGGGAGGUAAGGACAGCCCGGGGCUUCGACUGAACGUCUCCAGCGUGGGUCCAACUGAGCAGCCAUGGAGCACUGCAGAGUGGGAGGCAGCAGGGCAGGGAGGCAGUGCUGGAGGCUGGCUCAACCCCAAGACCAGCAGGCCAAGCUGCCAUCCCAGGGGAGCGAGGACGUCUGUGCAGAGCUGAGAGGCAGCAGCCAUGUGUGAACAGACUGGGCCUCAUCCUGGCCCCACCGACUUUGUGUGGACAGAGCCUGUUUCCCUGUCUGUGCAACACAGAACCUGCCUGAUCUCACUGCUGGAUCCCUCUUCUUCCUGCCAGGAAAAUAAAAAGGUUCAAAAGGAAGUUGCUGCGUAUCCAUCUGGGGCCUCUGAGGACAGCAAAGAGCAAAGGCCCUGGGACCGGGUCUACGUGCCCAUGACAGAGCUCUGGCUGGACUGGUUCUGAGCCUCUAACACCCCCAAGACUCAGAACCGUGAAGAAAAUCUUUCCAAUAAAUCCAAGAGUUGCUGCUGCUAUAGGCCAGGCUGCCACCUUUCGGGGCCUCCGUCUUCAGACAAACCCAGCCUGGCUUCAUCCACACUCCCUGUCCCCACAGCUGCAGGAACAGCACUUCCUGCCACCGAGCCGUGUGACCACAGUGGAUUGUCUCUGGAGGGGCCCAAGGGGGCCCUGGCCACCCUUCUGACUGACUCGGUGCCAGGGGACAGACCAACGUCCCUCUCGUGCUGACAGCCGGGCCGCACCCUGGCAUGAGGGCAUUUACAGAAAUGCUGGCGGAACUGCUGCCAGGGAGGCUGUAGGGUCCUCUGGCAAAAGAGGCCUCAGGUGGCUCCUCAGAGUGUCUGUGGUUCUCUGUCCCAGGCUGUUCCCUAAGAAGGUCUGCCCAGGACUCAGGUGGGCUCACGCUGCACAUCCGGAUGUAGGAUCAUGAGCAGGAGGCCCCAGGCCAGCGUGGUCGAGGUGGUCACCAUCCCGGCAGAGAACAGGUCAGCCAAAAAACUCACUGUGGACCGCUCAUGCCCCAGCUGCUGCUUUUUAACCCCAGCUGUUAUCCAUCACCACAGGCAGCUUCGAUUUUCAAUCAUGGAUCUGAUGACUUUCAACAAACUUUCCUGAGGAAAGUGCUGUUCUCACCAGAAGAGAUCUCAGGACAAAUGUAGACAGCCCUGGUGGCGUUUCAUACUUAUCACCCAGACUGGAGUGCAAUGGUGUGAUCUCGGCUCACUGCAACCCACAGGGGAGAUGGUCAGGCCAGUGUGGGGGCUAAUGAAUAAAUGCUACACGACGCAAAGUCAAGAGUAGGAAGAAGCCAACCUCUGAGGUCACGACCCCCAGGAGACCUGGAGGACUGAAUGCUGCUGCCCCCAAGGAGGAGGCUGCCGUCUUAUCCCAGGAGGGAGAGCAGGUGAAGUCCCCAGGGGAGGAAGCACCUAGCCCCAUUCCUGCUGAGCAGGAGGUGGCAGGUACCCCAGACUGGGAGGUAAGGACAGCCCGGGGCUUCGACUGAACGUCUCCAGCGUGGGUCCAACUGAGCAGCCAUGGAGCACUGCAGAGUGGGAGGCAGCAGGGCAGGGAGGCAGUGCUGGAGGCUGGCUCAACCCCAAGACCAGCAGGCCAAGCUGCCAUCCCAGGGGAGCGAGGACGUCUGUGCAGAGCUGAGAGGCAGCAGCCAUGUGUGAACAGACUGGGCCUCAUCCUGGCCCCACCGACUUUGUGUGGACAGAGCCUGUUUCCCUGUCUGUGCAACACAGAACCUGCCUGAUCUCACUGCUGGAUCCCUCUUCUUCCUGCCAGGAAAAUAAAAAGGUUCAAAAGGAAGUUGCUGCGUAUCCAUCUGGGGCCUCUGAGGACAGCAAAGAGCAAAGGCCCUGGGACCGGGUCUACGUGCCCAUGACAGAGCUCUGGCUGGACUGGUUCUGAGCCUCUAACACCCCCAAGACUCAGAACCGUGAAGAAAAUCUUUCCAAUAAAUCCAAGAGUUGCUGCUGCUAUAGGCCAGGCUGCCACCUUUCGGGGCCUCCGUCUUCAGACAAACCCAGCCUGGCUUCAUCCACACUCCCUGUCCCCACAGCUGCAGGAACAGCACUUCCUGCCACCGAGCCGUGUGACCACAGUGGAUUGUCUCUGGAGGGGCCCAAGGGGGCCCUGGCCACCCUUCUGACUGACUCGGUGCCAGGGGACAGACCAACGUCCCUCUCGUGCUGACAGCCGGGCCGCACCCUGGCAUGAGGGCAUUUACAGAAAUGCUGGCGGAACUGCUGCCAGGGAGGCUGUAGGGUCCUCUGGCAAAAGAGGCCUCAGGUGGCUCCUCAGAGUGUCUGUGGUUCUCUGUCCCAGGCUGUUCCCUAAGAAGGUCUGCCCAGGACUCAGGUAAUCAUAUGCUCAUUAGAAACUCUUGGGCACUGCCUGUGUGCCCA